CAGCUGCAGAAUUUGCCACUGACAUCACAUAUAUAUGCAGGAUUUGAUGCAGCAAGGGCCAUUUGUUUGACAGAAAUAGAGUUGUUACCGCAAGAGAAAAUUGAUGAGGCAAUUGGAAGAAUUGAGCAGCAAUUUUACUACAGAUCUGCGCCAUUGAUCUGGUAUUUAUAUUUUGAAGCAAUUCCGUCAGGAACAGAUGAUCACACAAUAACUUUUGAUAAGGAGGAAAGCUAUGCCCGUUCGCUGGAAGCCAGGCAACCCGGCGCCAUCGUCGAGGAGAGCGAGGAGGGGCUAGAUUGUGCCGCCAUAGAGGUGAGCUAUGAGGGGCUGCGGCAUCCCUGCAUAGGAGGGGGAGAGAAGCCGCCACCACACCAGGUGAUUCACUGA
rnacentral:rRNA from 1 species